CCCGCGCGGGGGCUCCCCCUUGCCUGGCCGGGUCCUCCCCUUCCUGCCCGCUGCUGGCUGCUGUCCCCGCUGUAGCGGUCCGGGGCUCCCGGGACUAAAACUUAACACCCUCGGCCCCGUUGUCUUCACCCACAGGUCCUCCCCGCCUCCCCGGACUCCGCGGCUACCCGUGGUCGCGGGGAGGAGGGGCUGGAGGUCUCAGGGUUCCUCCUUCCACUUGCCCGGACAUAAGGUUCAGUUGUGCAACGGGAAAGCGGGACCAGGGCGUGGCCGGGCUACGCCUCGACCCUUCUCCUUAAAACAUCUCGAGAAUUAAAUACCUUUUCUGCCGUCUGCCUGGUUUAGUUUGGAGGAGAAUUUACCAACCCAAAUCUGGCCCAAGCCUGGACCGUCUAGAUAAGGAAGAGGAUCACAGAAACAAAUUGUUUUUGAUUUUGACUUCCUUUACUGGCUAGCUGCAUUCUUGAUGGAGCUACCAGCAAGUAACAGGAUGACUGCAAUGUGUCAGGCUCCACGGAGGUGCUGGGGACCUCACAAUUUAGGAAGAAAGACAGACAAAUUCCCCAUCACAUGACCAUGGGAUAAGGGUAAGGGCUGGCCGAGGUAUGCCUAGAGCACUACAGGAUCUUGAGGGACUUCUCAC